AGCGCGAAAAGGUGGAACAGCUGAGAAGGUUGUUGAAACAGCGGCUAGCUGCUGCUAAUGCUGAGAUCAGAGAGAACCAUAGAGAGGGCCGACUUCCUCUAUGCUACAUUGUAAUUGGCUGAGCGUCGGUCGCCAUGUUGAAUGUGUGUAAGUGGGUGUUGCUAUAGAUGCACAAUGACAGUCUGUGUCACUCUAGAAUCAUAUUAGAGACAAAAGUUGCAGUUUAUGUGCAUUUUUCUUCACCAUGGAUCAUAACUGUCAUACCAGCAACAUCAGAAAAACAUCAAGAUCUAAAGGAACUGAGUGUUCAUCUAUCAAUUGCACCAAGUACACUAAAACAAACAAGGAAGUGGCAUUCUACUCCUUUCCAAAGGACAAAAUGAGGUGUGCAGCAUGGGUUCAAAACCUGCGUCGAGAGGACCUGCUAGGGAAAAGUCCAGAUCAACUGAGGUGGCGCCGAGUUUGCAGUGAUCAUUUUGCUACUUCCCAAUUCAAGAACCCCAAUGACAGGAAAUCUGGAUUGCUGCCAAAUGCUAUACCAUGGUUAAUUGAGUGUCCCAACCCCCCAAAGAGUGGUGAUGUGACGAGAAAGCAGCCACAUGACCGAGGACAAGCUGCU